GGAUCCCCCCGUUUGCCUGUCUCCGGCGCUAUUGUUGGGCUCCGGAGGCGGCAAAAAGCCCAGGGCUCGGGGUGGGGGAGGUGUCUGUGAGGUCGUAGCCUCCGCAGUGAGGACAGGUUUACCUGCUGUGAGAAUGGCGCUGGCGUGAAGUCUCGCGUUCCACGGCCGAGGCCGGGAGCUGAGGAAGACGAGAGAGGCCCGCGUGGCGAGCCGGCCGGGGUGCAGCGGCCCCUGCGGCUCUGGAGACGCGACCCGAGGAACCGCCGCAGCGCCGGGCCCGGGUCGUCUCCCGGGCCUCGCCUCAGGUGCUGGUCCUGCGAUGCUGCUGCGAAGUGUAGGACACAGUGAGUCUUUGAGUCGUCUCUCUAUGAAGUGCCCCGCGGGUGUUAAAUGCGGAGGAUUACACAGGCUUCUAGUUGUCCACUGCGUUACCGAGAGAAGACAGGGAGGAGGGACUAAUUCAAGGCCAACGGGUAAACAAGUACAACUUUGAUGGAAUUCAGUAUGGAGAUUCUUCAGAAAUCUGCAAAUAUCUAACAUAUGACCCAGCCAUCCCACUCCUGGGAAUUUACCCAAAGGAGAGGAAAUCAACAUAUGAAAAGUUAUUUGCACCCAUAUGUUUAUAGCAGUUGAAUUCACAUUAGCUAAGAUGUGGACUAAACCCACAUGUCCAUAAUAACUAAGGACUGGAUAAAGAAAAUGUAGUGUAUAUACACCGUGGAAUACUACUCAGUCACAAAAAAGGUUGAAAUCUUUCUUUUGCAACAAAAUGCAUGCAAUUGGAGACCAUCAAGCUUAGGGAAAUAAGCCAGUUCCAGAUAGACAAAUAUCAUAUAUUUUCUCCGACAUAGAAUCCAAAAAACAAUGUAGGAGUGAAAUUGACAUCUUAUGAAUUGGUUGUUGUUUAUAGCCCUGUCUAUAUUCCUGUGGAACAGUGGUCUUUCUACUUUUUAGUUGUUGAACAUUAUGGUUAAUUGUGCAUUAAGCCUGUGAUCAUAGAGUAAGUUGAAAACAUGUUAUUGCAAACAUUAAAGGAAAGAAACAAGGAAACAGGGUUUUUGAGUGAGGGAGGAAAGCAGGGAACUAUGGUUAUCUUUUUUAAGAUUUCAUUUAUUUGAUUUGAAAGGCAGAGUUAGAGAGAGAGAGAGAGAGAGAGAGAGAGAGAGAGAGAGAUCUUCCAUCUGCUGAUUCACUCCCCAAAUGGCCAAAACAGCCAGGGCUGGGCCAGACAGAAGUCAAGAACCAGGAGCCUCUUUCGGGUCUCCCUCGUGAGUUCAGGGGCACAAGCACUUGAGCCAUCCUCCUCUGCUUUCCCAGGCACAUUAACAGGGAGCUGGAUCAGAAGUGGAGCAUGGGGCUGGCGCUGUGGCAUAGUGGGUUAAGCUGCCACCUGCAGUGCUGGCAUCCCAUAUGGGCGCUGGUUCAAGUCCUGGCUUCUCCACUUCCGAUCCAGCUCUCUGCUAUGGCCUAGGAAAGCAGUAGAGGAUGACCCAGGUUCUUGGCCCCUGCACCCACGUGGGACACCUGGGGGAGGCUCCUAGCUUCGGAUCGGUGCAGCUCCAGCCGUUUCAGCCAGUUGGGGAGUGAGCCAGCAGAUGGAAGAUCUCUCUCUCUCUCUCUCUCCUCUGUCUCUCUGCGUGUGUGUGUGUGUGUGUAUGUAACUGUGAAUUUCAAGUAAAUAAAUAAAUUUUAAAAAAAGUGGAGCAGCCAGGAAUCAAACCAAGUGAUGUUUUGCUGUGAUGUAGACUAGAGAAGGCGUGUAAAUGACCAUUUUUGAAGCUAUUACCAUAGGGUGUGUGGUUGACACAGCAAGCCAAUGCUUAUCAGCACACUCCCAAUUUAGGAGGGAGCUUGAAACUGGAAAACACAUGUUCACAUCAGUGAGGUUCAGUUCAGCAAAGGUCUCCAUUGGUCCUCCUCACUUGAUACUGAACCCCCCUGCCUCUGUGUACCAGUGACAAAAGGCUGUUUCUGUGAUGGUAAUAAUGUGUGUCAACCUGAUUGGUCCAUGGGAUUAAACAUUACUUCUAGGCAUGUUUGAGAAAGUGUUUUCAGAUGAGAUUAGCAUUUUCACUGGUGGAUUCAGUAAAGCAGGUAGCCCUUCCCAAUGCAGAUGGGCAUCAUGCAAUUCACUGAAGAACUGGAUCGUGCAAAAGACAAAGAACCUUCCUAAAAGAAGAAGAAAUGUGCGCAGUUCUGCUGCCUCACUGCUGAUCUCAUUUCAUCUUCCCCUGGAUCAGAAGAGGAGCAGGCAGGACACGAGGUGGCACACAUAUGAGACGCCAGCACUGCAGACAGAGGCUUAGCCUGCUAAGACACAGCGCCAGCCCUAAGAUCCAACUUUCUGACCUAUGUAAUAUGUGUCCAUAAUAUUCACUCACAUUCAACUAUUGUAAUUUUAAUAAAUAACUUGUAUUUGGAAAUAGUUUAUAAAUCACAAGAGUCACGGACAUAGUUUUUGAAGAGUUCUUGGUGUCACCAACACCUGUUUUAACCCCAUGACAAUUUUGUGCAUAAUCAUAGUCCAUUGUCAAAAGUAGGAAAUUGACAUUGUUUCUACACUGUUAACUCAGAUCCAGAUCUUACUGGAAUUCUAUCCUCUAUGAAAUCCCUACGAACAUAGAAACCCUCAAAGAACAGAAGCCAGCAUUUUCCCACUGCCUUUGACGAUCUCUGAUGCGUCCAUGUUUUGUGUCCAUGGUUGCUAUUGUCUCGCUUUCCUUCUUUCAUGCUUUGUAAAUUUUUGUUUUAUUUGUUUAUUCUUACACUUUUUAUCCUUCUUCAUCUAGUUAAUUACUCCUUUUUCCUAACUUAUGGAAGAUUCAGAGAUCAUUGGUUUUCAGAUCCUUGCCUGUUUUACUCGUUCAUUAAAAGGACAAACUUCACUUUAUGAGAUUUAGUUACAUCUCAAAAGUUUUGAUGUUCUGUUUUUAUCUUAUUCAGUUUAAAAUAUAUUAGAUUUUCCAUUCUAUGUGUCUGCCUGUGAGUGCUGUGUUUUGUUUUGUUUUGUUUUGGGAGUGUGUUGAUUUUUUGACAGGUAGAGGGGACAGAGAUAGGCAGGCAGACACUUGGACACACAGAAUGCCCAUCUAUUGGCUGUCCUCAAAUCCCCGUACUUGGGCUGAACCAGAUAGAAGCUGGGAGCCGGGCACUAAGCGCUGGAUUCCCAUGUGAGUGGCAGGGAUCCAUGCACUUGAGCUAUCCCCUGCUUCUUCUCUGGCUGUGCACUAGCUGGAAGCCAGAAGCCAUGGUAGCAACAGCUUAACCACCGACUAGACAUUUGCAUUCACUACAGGUGUUUGUAACUCAUGUGUUUUCUUUAUCCUUUCAUCCACUGAUGAACACCAACAUGGGUUCUAUAUCUUACCUGUUCUAAAUAGUUCUGCGGUGAACCAGCAAGUGGGUGCAGGGGCCAAAACAAUUACCCCAUCUUCUGCUGCUUUUCCAAGGACAUUUGCAGGGAGCAGGAUUGGAAGUAGAGCAGCUGGGGCACCAUCUGGUGUCCAUAAAGAUGUUGGCAUCAUAGGCAAUGCCUGUAUGCCCUCUGCCACAAUGCCUGUCCCUAAUUAGUUUUUAAAGCCAGUUCUAUACUAUGUCCCUAAUAGCUGUGCUAAUUUACAUUGCCACUAGCAGUGAGUGUUGCCUUCUCUUCCCUUCUUUGUCAGCAUUCAGUUUUUCUUGUGUGAUAACAGCCAUUCUGACUGAGAUGUAGUGAUAUCUCUUUGUAGAUUUGAUUUGUAUAACUGUGAUGAUUAGUAAUGUUAAGCAUUUUCAAAGAGUUGUUGGACAUUUGUAUAUCUAUUUUGGGUAAUAUCAAUUCAGGUCAUGCAUCCAUUUUUAAAACAGAACUUUUUUUUUCUGCUGAGUUCUUUGUGUUCCUUAUAUAUUCUGAACAUCAAUUCCUUGUUAGAUAAAUAGCUUUCAAAUAUUCCUCCAAUUCUGUAUGUCUUCACUCUGUUGACUGUUGCCUGUGCUUUUAGGGACUAAUACAAAUAAUAUUUGCCCAGACCAAUGUCCUGAAGCAUUUUCCCUAUGAUUUCUUUUAGUUCUUUCAAUACUUCCUGUGUUACAUAUAAGUCUUUGAUCCAUUUUUAAUUGAAUGUGCAUAUGGAGAGUGAAAGAAGUUGACUUUAUUUCUCCUUUGUACAGAUAUUCAGUUUUCUCAGCACCAUUUAUCGAUGAGACCUUAUCUCCUAUGCAGGUUGUUGCUGGUUUAUAUAUAUAUAUAUAU